ensembl:lncRNA
GCUCGCCCCCCACCCGCGCGUCCACGGCGGGACGUUGGAGGUCAUGUCCCAGUGGGCCCCGGCUGCAGCCCCGAAGCCGGGAACCAGCUCUCUCCGCCUCUCCAUCCAGGGGCUGGACCAAGCCCAGGCGUCUUUCUGCCCCCUCCCUGGGCCGGGGGACCUUCACCAUCCUCCCAGCCUCACUGCGGCCGGCCAGGUCCGGCCCCUCACCCUGCCCGGACCGCCUUCCUGGGCCCCCACCUGCAGCCCCAGCAGCAGUCAGGAGGCUCCCUCGGACCCCAGAGGCGACCUCUCCUGUGCCGAGCUGCACACCCUCCCCUAGCUCACCUGACUCAGGGGAAAAGCUGAAACCCCCCGCAGCCCCCAAAGGGUUCCUCUCCCUCCCACUCAGCCCCAGAUCCUCCCACCUCAGCCUGCUUGUUCCUGGAGCAGCCAGGCCCCAGGGCCUUUGCACGCCCUUGGCCCUGCUUGGGCCACUGCGCCUGAUGCCUGAUUGUCUCGGUCCAUUCUCUCUCCUCGGCCUUCUGGACACACAGCAGUCCUGUGCGGUGGCCACUGACUCGUUCAUUUCCUGCUCCCUCGUGGAGGGAAUCCGGACUCGGGAGAGGGGUGUCUGCCGUGCGCCCCCCGAGGUGCCCACCUGGCUGCUUCUGAAGCGUCGAGCCUAGACGCACAGAGACCGCGUGACAGGGAGACCCAUGCACACGGGGAGCCGACUGGCCGGCAGCUGUGGCCUUGGACCCAGACCUGGAAUGCCGGCCAGGAACCCCCCGCCCCAGCCAGCCUGAGGGGCACCCCGAUUGCCCCGUGGGGGGCCAGCCGGCCGUCCCCCUGCGGGGCUGGUGCAGGGAGUGGCUGUGUGGCCUGGCACACUCGUGGAAGGGUGGAAGCAGCCGCUGUCUCCGUGUGUGUGUCUGUGACCAGGCCCCCUCCCUCUAUGUGAACGUGUGUGGCAAGCAGCCACACUGCAUGGCACUCCACGGCCGUGACCCCGGCCCUGGGCCCUGAGUCGGGGGCCGGGCUGCCCACCUCGGGGGCUUUUGUCCGUUUCUGAAGUGACAAGAGACGUACAAAAGGGCUUUUAAUUAAAUCAAAGGAGGAAACGGGCCGGCCGGGCCGCUAUUAUGUUACCAAACGUGAAAAUGAAAACUUAUUUUUAAAGCUCUGGUAUUAAUUUGAGAUUAUUCAGAUAGUUAAUUAAAAGUGCAGCAUGUGCUAAAUAUUAUUUCAGCAAAGAUUAUCAUCGGGUCUCCAUGUAACGCGAUCUGUG